rnacentral:rRNA from 1 species
UACGAAGGGGGCUAGCGUUGCUCGGAAUCACUGGGCGUAAAGCGCACGUAGGCGGAUUUUUAAGUCAGGGGUGAAAUCCUGGGGCUCAACUCCAGAACUGCCUUUGAUACUGGGAAUCUCGAGUCCGGGAGAGGUGAGUGGAACUCCGAGUGUAGAGGUGAAAUUCGUAGAUAUUCGGAAGAACACCAGUGGCGAAGGCGGCUCACUGGCCCGGUACUGACGCUGAGGUGCGAAAGCGUGGGGAGCAAACAGG